rnacentral:rRNA from 1 species
UGAGGAAUAUUGGUCAAUGGGCGCAAGCCUGAACCAGCCAUCCCGCGUGCAGGAAGACGGCCCUAUGGGUUGUAAACUGCUUUUCCAGGGGGAGAAUUUUUCUGUCGUGACAGGAAUUGACGGUACCCUGGGAAUAAGCAUCGGCUAACUCCGUGCCAGCAGCCGCGGUAAUACGGAGGAUGCGAGCGUUAUCCGGAUUUAUUGGGUUUAAAGGGUGCGUAGGCGGAUUGAUAAGUCAGUGGUGAAAACCUGCAGCUUAACUGUAGACUUGCCGUUGAUACUGUCAGUCUUGAGUGUGGUCAAGGUAGGCGGAAUGUGUAGUGUAGCGGUGAAAUGCUUAGAUAUUACACAGAAUAUCGAUUGCGAAGGCAACUCACAAAGCCAUUAUUGACGCUGAGG